ACAGGUUACAACAAGUCUCCCAGCGAACAGGUUGAACUUGAUUCUAAUACACUAUGUAAGCUACAAUGGCACACAUACAGUGGUACAAGCAAUUGCCCGUGCCUUGCGGUUGCGAGAUACCAGCAAUUGCCAGUGCCUUGCGGUUGAGAGUUUACCAGGUUGGUUGCACGGCAGCUGGAGAACUCAGGCCUCUUCCACUUGCUCUUCCUCUUCCUGGAGGAGGUUCUCUCUGUUGUCGUGGGCCCAGAAGCCGCGCACAUCUAUAAGCAUGCUGGCAAUAGUCCCGCCUUGCUUGCAAGAUAGAAGAUCUGUUAGUGCGAUCCUGAGAGGAUCUGCCGGCUUUACCAUGUCCCAGAUUUCAUCCCUCACGUCUUCGAUGCAAAGUUCAUAGUUUCCGCCUUCAAUCCAUUUCUGGUGUACAUCCCUGGAAACGAUGACGAAGUUGCUUGACAGUUGUCAGGAAUCCCCUUCCAUUAAGAUCAAGGCAUCUAAAUAGGUAUGUCAAUCCUUCAGGAGUAUCUUUGUUUUCUAGAGCCAAAACAAAGUCAAGAAAGCUUUCAAAGUCCAUUUCACGACUGUUGCCACCUCCAACUUUGCUCCGGCGUACAUGCUCAUCAAAAACUGGAAAAAGAAAAGAAAUAUCAGUCAAUGUGCCAUCUGCAUAUUCCUUGAGCUCCUGUUUGCUCAAUGUUCCAUUUGUAUCUUUGUCAAGUGCAAGAAACAUAUCUGCAUGGGACCAUGCGCAUUAGCUGACGUCAGGGAAAACCAAUUUUCAGCCUGCUCAGUAUCAGUAACCUCUUCCUCACUCUCCUGA
rnacentral:sRNA from 1 species